UACGUAGGGUGCAAGCGUUGUCCGGAAUUAUUGGGCGUAAAGAGCUCGUAGGCGGUUUGUUGCGUCGGCUGUGAAAUCCCGAGGCUCAACCUCGGGUCUGCAGUCAAUACGAGCAAACUAGAGUGUUGCAGGGGAGACUGGAAUUCCUGGUGUAGCGGUGAAAUGCGCAGAUAUCAGGAAGAACACCCGUGGCGAAGGCGGUUCUCUGGGACGGUACUGACGCUGAGACGCGAAAGCGUGGGGAGCGAACAGG
rnacentral:rRNA from 1 species